CGACCGGUGCAAAACAGAUUUGCAUCGAAUGCAUUGCCAAUACUGAAGCCUCAACCAAAGACAAAGGACCAACAACGGAGCGCGCACAUUCACAACAAUAACAACAAUUGAGCCACGACUCCGCCGCCACC
rnacentral:rRNA from 1 species